UCUCUUUCAUUAGGAAAUAGAAUCUCUCUCCCCCAUGUAUUUAUUACGUCUCUUAUCUUAUUUAUUAGUAAAUAAAUCUUCCUCUUCUCUCCCCUUUAUUAGGUAAAAAAAUCAAAGAGUUGUGUCUCCUCUUUGAUAUUCUCUCCCAAAGCCCACAAUCUGCUCUAAGAGAGCUCCAAGAGCUCUAUUUCUCUGUUAUUCCUUUGGCUCCAGGUAUGAAAGGACCUCAGGGCUUCAUAAUCCUCGAUCGGUUGAAGAAGUCUUUAAGAAUUUCAUAUGGAGGCACGCUGGGACAAUCAAGGCUUUCACCACUGGUUGGAUUUUGCUUGGAGGGUUUUUUACUUUGUAGGUUUUGAUGUUUACAUUGUUGUUUUUCUUUUGCAGAUGUUGAGAAAUUCUUUCAAUAAUGUGAUCCUCGUGAGCUCUGUUUCUUAUAUGGGAUUGGCAGGGUUUUGGUUUUAAAAAAGUAACAGUGACUACGGUAUAAAUUUGGUUUCUGGAUGCUGUUAAUUUGUAUAUUUUGAGUAUUUGAGGGUUGCAAUUACUCAAGUUUCACUUUA